UGGGGAAUUUUGGACAAUGGGGGAAACCCUGAUCCAGCCAUCCCGCGUGUGCGAUGAAGGCCUUCGGGUUGUAAAGCACUUUUGGCAGGAAAGAAACGUCAUGGGUUAAUACCCCGUGAAACUGACGGUACCUGCAGAAUAAGCACUGGCUAACUACGUGCCAGCAGCCGCGGUAAUACGUAGGGUGCAAGCGUUAAUCGGAAUUACUGGGCGUAAAGCGUGCGCAGGCGGUUCGGAAAGAAAGAUGUGAAAUCCCAGAGCUCAACUUUGGAACUGCAUUUUUAACUACCGGGCUAGAGUGUGUCAGAGGGAGGUGGAAUUCCGCGUGUAGCAGUGAAAUGCGUAGAUAUGCGGAGGAACACCGAUGGCGAAGGCAGCCUCCUGGGAUAACACUGACGAUCAUGCACGAAAGCGUGGGGAGCAAACAGG
rnacentral:rRNA from 1 species